rnacentral:lncRNA from 1 species
CCGGGCCAUGAAUCCCCUCUGGGACUAGCACUUUGGGUCAGCUCCAGCUUUGUGCCUGGGCUCCUGGGGCAGUUCUGCAGCAUGGCGGACUCCUGCCUUCCCCUCGCCUGGUCUGUAGACCCCAGCCCUUGGAAGGGCACACAGUGGCUCCCUGCAUUCAUCAGAUGAUCUGGGGCAGGACCUGCUCUGGUGACCCAGCGGAUUCAGGUAGGAACUUGGCACACAAGAGCUGGUCUGCAGCUGCCCCACCAGCAGGGAAUGACUCUACCAGUGACCCUGAGACCAGCCAGACAUCCAGCCUGGCUCUGCAGCAGAAAACAAUUUGUCACAGGACUGUCAGCAAACAAUGGUUGACUUCCCUGGCAUCGGAGCCCUAACCCCUGCAAGGGUGAAGGCCUUGGAAGAGAUCUCGCCGCCCGGACUCCACAGGAACCCACGACUCAUUUUGCUCAUUAGAUUCCAUGUGGAUCUCCGAUCUGCAGAUGCCAGGCUCACAUUCAGAAGGCAUGUUUGUGAACGAAAUGGGCGGUUUGCCCUCUCCAGACACUGGCACUCUGACCAGGCCACUUAAAUGCAGGAGAAGACACAGAGGAAAAUGAAACCCUCAUGGGAAACCACAGCUUCUACAUGCCCGUCCCUGUCAGCACAUUGAUCUGCCGGCUGGUUUCCAUAAGCACUUGGUCAGAAGAAACAAAAGUCGUACAUCAUCUGCUCCACGAGCUCCCCUGGUGACCAGGAACCCAGCUGCUGCUGUCUGAGGUAGCUUCGGGGUGUGUGUGUGUGUGUGUGUGUGUGUGUGUGUGUGUGUGUUGUGUUUAUGAGAGGGGAAGACAGAGAGCAAGCCCAUGAAAGGGCUUUGUUUACCGUUUUUGCUUCGACCUUACACGGCUACCUUGCAGUUUGUAUUCCAGGACCCUGCCUCUGGUAGACCCUCAGUGAAUAUAAAAUGGAUAUUGUUUCAGAGUAAUUUUGUGAAAGAUUUUUAUUUUUGACUUAAUGAGCUCUGUCUGAAUUAAAUUUUAAGGUGCAUUAGGAAC